AGCCAUGCAUGUCUAAGUAUAAGCUUUUAUACGGUGAAACUGCGAAUGGCUCAUUAAAACAGUUAUAGUUUAUUUGAUGGUCACCUUUACAUGGAUAACCAUGGUAAUUCUAUGGCUAAUACAUGCGCACUCGCCUCCUUCUCUGGAGGGGCUGUGUUUAUUAGAUACAAAACCAACCCACUUUGUGGAGUCUGGGUGAUUCAUAGUAACCGAACGGAUCGCAGUUGGCUUCGGCCCGCGAUAUAUCUUUCAAGUUUCUGACCUAUCAGCUUUCGACGGUAGGGUAUUGGCCUACCGUGGCAGUGACGGGUAACGGGGAAUUAGGGUUCGAUUCCGGAGAGGGAGCCUGAGAAACGGCUACCACAUCUAAGGAAGGCAGCAGGCGCGCAAAUUACCCAAUGAAAACAGCUUCGAGGUAGUGACGAGAAAUAACAAUACAGGGCAUUUUUUGUUCUGUAAUUGGAAUGAUGGGAAUGUAAAACCCUUUCAGAUUAACAAUUGGAGGGCAAGUCUGGUGCCAGCAGCCGCGGUAAUUCCAGCUCCAAUAGUGUAUAUUAGAGUUGUUGCAGUUAAAAAGCUCGUAGUUGGAUUUCUGUCGUGGUCAUCCGGUUCCGCCCGUACGGGUGUGCGCCUGGUUUGCCCUCGGCUUUCUUCCGUUAGCCUUCGGCGCUUCAUUGCGUCUGUUGGUGUUUCGGAACUUUUACUUUGAGAAAAAUAGAGUGUUUCAAGCAGGCUUGUCGCCCUGAAUACUUCAGCAUGGAAUAAUAAGAUAGGACCUUGGUUCUAUUUUGUUGGUUUCUAGGACUAAGGUAAUGAUUAAUAGGGACAGUUGGGGGCAUUCGUAUUUAACUGUCAGAGGUGAAAUUCUUAGAUUUGUUAAAGACGAACUACUGCGAAAGCAUUUGCCAAGGAUGUUUUCAUUAAUCAAGAACGACAGUAGGGGGUUUGAAGACGAUUAGAUACCGUCGUAAUCUCUACCAUAAACUAUGCCGACUAGAGAUAGGGAAAUGCCUACCUUGGCUUCUCCUGCACCUCAUGAGAAAUCAAAGUCUCUGGGUUCUGGGGGGAGUAUGGUCGCAAGGCUGAAACUUAAAGGAAUUGACGGAAGGGCACCACCAGGCGUGGAGCCUGCGGCUUAAU
rnacentral:rRNA from 1 species